GAGUCUGUAGCUCAUUGGUAGAGCAUUCGACUUCAGAUCGAGAGGUCCCCGGUUCAAAUCCGGGUAGUUUUC
rnacentral:tRNA from 1 species